UACGGAGGAUGCGAGCGUUAUCCGGAUUUAUUGGGUUUAAAGGGUGCGUAGGCGGCUUUGCAAGUCAGAGGUGAAAUCCAUGGGCUUAACCCAUGAACUGCUUUUGAAACUGCAGAGCUUGAGUGGAGUAGAGGUAGGCGGAAUUCCCGGUGUAGCGGUGAAAUGCGUAGAGAUCGGGAGGAACACCAGUGGCGAAGGCGGCCUGCUGGGCUCUAACUGACGCUGAGGCACGAAAGCGUGGGUAGCAAACAGG
rnacentral:rRNA from 1 species